rnacentral:tRNA from 1 species
GGGCCGAUAGCUCAGCGGUAGAGCACUGCAUUUGCAAUGCAGGGGUCUGGGGUCCGAAUCCCCAUCGGUCCA